CGCCUUCAAUUCUUAACCCCCAGCGCCUAUAUUAGCAACGCUCGCCGGGUUCGCCCGGAAGACUAUGGCGAUAAACGACUGUGUAAUAAGCAGCCCGGACCCGGGGGCAGUACCCGGCGCCUCCACCAUAAGCCCAUUCUUGGAUGGGUUUUUGUGGGGGCGAAACAGGAUCGACGGAUGUGUAAAGGCAGUUCUUUUGCCCGGUAUGGUUCCGCCGUCAUCGGACUAUUGUUUAGGUGCCAACGAUAAUGAAAUGGCCCUCGCUGCCUAACUUCGGUUAGCCAAGCGCGGUUUUGGUGGAUGUACCGGGCAACAGAAACAUCCGCCA
rnacentral:tmRNA from 1 species